rnacentral:rRNA from 1 species
UCAGGACGAACGCUGGCGGCGUGCUUAACACAUGCAAGUCGAACGGGAGUAUUGAAGAAGCUUGCUUUAGAGAUACUUUAGUGGCGGACGGGUGAGUAACGCGUGAGGAGCUGUCCUAUGCAGGGGGACAACAGCUGGAAACGGCUGCUAAUACCCCAUAAGCCGAGAGGUAAAAGGAUCAAUCCGGCAGAGGAGGUACUCGCGUCCUAUCAGCUAGUAGGUGAGGUAACGGCUCACCUAGGCGAAGACGGGUAGCCGGCCUGAGAGGGCGAACGGCCACACUGGAACUGAGAUACGGUCCAGACUCCUACGGGAGGCAGCAGUGGGGAAUAUUGGGCAAUGGGGGAAACCCUGAACCCCAGCGACGCCGCGUGGGUGAAGAAAUCCUUCGGGAUGUAAAGCCCUGUUGUAUGGGAAGAGCGGAAGACGGUACCAUACGAGGAAGCCCCGGCAAACUACGUGCCAGCAGCUGC